rnacentral:tRNA from 1 species
UUAAUUGAAUCCAAAAUAGCGGAAAAUUAUUGUUAAUAAUUUAAUUGAAUAAAUCUUUCCAAUUAAU